ACGAACGCUGGCGGCGUGCUUAACACAUGCAAGUCGAACGGAAAGGCCCUGCUUGCAGGGUACUCGAGUGGCGAACGGGUGAGUAACACGUGGGUGAUCUGCCCUGCACUUCGGGAUAAGCCUGGGAAACUGGGUCUAAUACCGGAUAGGAGCCAUUUUUAGUGUGAUGGUUGGAAAGUUUUUUCGGUGUAGGAUGAGCUCGCGGCCUAUCAGCUUGUUGGUGGGGUAAUGGCCUACCAAGGCGGCGACGGGUAGCCGGCCUGAGAGGGUGGACGGCCACAUUGGGACUGAGAUACGGCCCAGACUCCUACGGGAGGCAGCAGUGGGGAAUAUUGCACAAUGGGCGCAAGCCUGAUGCAGCGACGCCGCGUGGGGGAUGACGGCCUUCGGGUUGUAAACUCCUUUCGCUAGGGACGAAGCUUUUUGUGACGGUAUCUAGAUAAGAAGCACCGGCUAACUACGUG
rnacentral:rRNA from 1 species